UGAAGUCUGCAAGCUCCCAGGGUCUCACUGCCUAUUGAUCAGAGCAGCCUGGCCUCACGCCUGGCUGAGAAGGGAUGGUGGCUGCACCAGCUCUGAGUGGGUGUUUUUAGUGCACAUGGAAACCCAAGAUCUUCCGGAAGCCCAGCGUUGACUCAGAGGCUCUGGCGGGGAGUCAGUGAACAAUAGGAUCCACCAUUUGAGCUCUGCAUAAAUUAUGGUCCGUUUUCUCUGGUCUUCUGCCAACAAGAUGUCAGCAGCUCUCUUUGCUGUGAGUGCAUUUCCCAGGAUCUUAGCUGAUGAAUUUGAGGAGAAAAGCAUUUUCCUCCUUCAAGAAUCUAUAUAGCCCGAGUCCAGCAGCAAAUCAACAAAGGACUCCCGACCAAGCACAGGUGCACCUGCAGAUGGUGAGCUGACGGCAUUGUGGAUACUCAAUGCUUAUGUUGAUUCAAGAGUAAUGAUUGCAGGUGGCCUCAGGAAAGGAGUCUGUAUUCUGCAAUCACUGACUUGCUGCUGAAAAAUCCAGAUGAAAAGAAAGGCGGGGCUUUCCUGCUGGCUUCAGUCUGGAGAUCUGACUCCAGCUUCCUGCUGGCCACCAGGCAGGGGUGGUGGAAGGAGCGGUUUUUGCAGGCAGACGACUUCGAUCAUAAACUACCAAGAUACCUGGAGCGAUCAGAUGAGCCUCGGCCUACUCUUGAAGCUAAAGGAAGGCUGCUAGCAAGACUGGCAUCUGGGCUUGGCUGUGCGUGUUUUCCAUUGUGGGAAAAUAUACAUAACACAAUAUUUGUGAUUUGAACCUUUUAACCAAAGUGUGCACGCAGUGGCAUUCAAUAUAUUCACUUACACUUAAGGCACAAUGACAAGGCAGCAAAGGGCCGUUAGGUGAUUAGUUCACACUUGUUGCAACUGUUUGUACUGCAGAGUUAAAACAUA
rnacentral:lncRNA from 1 species